AGUGAACGCUGGCGGUAGGCCUAACACAUGCAAGUCGAACGGCAGCACAGUAAGAGCUUGCUCUUACGGGUGGCGAGUGGCGGACGGGUGAGGAAUACAUCGGAAUCUACUUUUUCGUGGGGGAUAACGUAGGGAAACUUACGCUAAUACCGCAUACGACCUACGGGUGAAAGCAGGGGAUCUUCGGACCUUGCGCGAUUGAAUGAGCCGAUGUCGGAUUAGCUAGUUGGCGGGGUAAAGGCCCACCAAGGCGACGAUCCGUAGCUGGUCUGAGAGGAUGAUCAGCCACCCUGGAACUGAGACACGGUCCAGACUCCUACGGGAGGCAGCAGUGGGGAAUAUUGGACAAUGGGGGCAAGCCUGAUCCAGCCAUACCGAGUGGGUGAAGAAGGCCUUCGGGUUGUAAAGCCCUUUUGUUGGGAAAGAAAAGCAGCAGGUUAAUACCCCGCUGUUCUGACGGUACCCAAAGAAUAAGCACCGGCUAACUUCGUG
rnacentral:rRNA from 1 species